GGGCCCGUAGCGCAGUCAGGAAGCGCGGCGGCCACGCUAGCCGCAGGUCCCGGGUUCGAAUCCCGGCGGGCCCGCCA
rnacentral:tRNA from 1 species